rnacentral:rRNA from 1 species
GAUGAACGCUGGCGGCGUGCCUAAUACAUGCAAGUCGAGCGAACAGACGAGGAGCUUGCUCCUCUGACGUUAGCGGCGGACGGGUGAGUAACACGUGGAUAACCUACCUAUAAGACUGGGAUAACUUCGGGAAACCGGAGAUAAUACCGGAUAAUAUAUUGAACCGCAUGGUUCAAUAGUGAAAGACGGCUUUGGUGGAACUUAUAGAUGGAUCCGCGCCGCAUUAGCUAGUUGGUACGGUAACGGCUUACCAAGGCAACGAUGCGUAUCCGACCUGAGAGGGUGAUCGGCCACACGGGAACUGAGACACGUUCCAGAGUCCUACGGGAGGCAGCAGUAGGGAAUCUUCCGCAAUGGGCGAAAGCUUGACGGAGCAACGCCGCGUGAGUGAUGAAGGUCUUGGGAUCGUAAAACUCUGUUAUUGGGUAAGAACAAAUGUGUAAGUAACUAUGCACGUCUUGACGGUACCUAGUCAGAAAGCCACGGCUAACUACGUG